AAAAACCGUGGACGCAGAACGAACUGCGUCUCUGCAUCUCUCAUAUAUGUUAGGCGAACACGAAGCCCAUUACACAUUUCACACCAGAAAAAAAACUCUGUCUCUCUUUUCUCUUGCCGUUCCUCCGUCUCCACCGCGCACGGCGCUUCCGUCCUGUGCCGUUGAUCAUCUCUUCUAGGGAUCAUUGAUCUCUAGAAGCCACUCAAGUUCGUCUCACAAGGCUUUGUAGAUACAGAUUGUGAAGGUUGUUUCCGAAAACGGCGCCGAGGAAGAAGUAUUCUGUGUUUUUACGACGAUUUGUCGAUAGAGAUUGUGGAGUUCGUGGGAUUUUCAAUGGCUACAGGGCCGGUUAAGUCUCAUCCUUUGCACAACUUCGCUCUCCCAUUUCUGAAAUGGGGUGGGAAGAAUCAGACCAACAGUAAUCACCGCAUUCGGCGGGAAAUUGGCGGCGACUCAUCACCUGCCGUCGAUCAUUCUGAACCGGAGUCUGAAGCAGACUCCAAGCAUCAACCUCGAGUUGGAUCGCGCACCGCUCGGAAUAGAUUGCCGUUUUCACCAUGCUCACUGGGAGAUAAAUCCGCGAAGCAUUCUGAAGGUGAGGUCGGAGAAGAAGUUGUGAAGGAGCAGAAGCGGGAAGGUGAGGAGGUCGAGGGGGAGGAAAUAGUGCAGAAGCCUUGGAAUCUCAGGCCGCGGAAGGGCCCGUCCUUGAGAGGCUUUGGUGAUUUGAAGAAUGGACGAGACUUGCAAGAACAGGACGGGGCUGUUUCUUCCGCUGCUGGUGCGUUUCAGCAAGGGGAGAAUCCGCAGCCGAAAUCGCUCCGGUUGCGAGGAUUUACAGAGUCGCAUAGGAUUGAGAAGAAGGAGAAGAGAAAGUUCUGGAUCGCUCUGUCUAAAGAUGAGAUUGAGGAAGAUAUUUUUAUCAUGACUGGAUCUAGACCUUCCCGACGGCCGAAGAAGAGACCUAAGAAUGUUCAGAAGCAACUCGAUAGUGUGUUUCCUGGACUGUGGUUGGUCGGUGUUACAGCAGACGCCUAUCGUAUCGCCGAUUCACCGGCCAAGAGAUAGGCAUGAUGAUGAUGGAUAUUUUUUGAUCCUUGAAGUUGGAAUAUUUUGCCUGCCCUGCCUUGAUUGGGAGCCUUGUUGGAGGCAGUGCAUUCUUUUUCAGAUAGAUCUUUCUCUCGCAUUCUUCAAGCUGAUGCUAAUGGUGAUAUUUUUCCAUCCUUCCUUAAUGUUUUGCGAUUUUUGAUCGUUCUUACUGCAUUUGAAUGGCUUAAAGCAGCUUCUUGCGAGUCAUCUUUUGCACCAAAUCUUUUUCUUGCUAGUAAAAUGCUGAUAGAACUUUCAAGUUCUGCACCAUUUUUUUUUUAAUUUAUAUGGGGACUUCGGGAUAUCUGAGCAUUAAUUUCAUGGCCUUCACUUUUUUGUUUUCCUUUUACUCAAAUCCUUUUGUGGGUUUGCCUUCAAAUACUGAUUAAUUUAGUUGUUUUGGCCUUAAUUUUGAUUUGGAAUUCGCAAAAUCUUAAAAGUGUUCAUUCUUCUGCUUUGUUCUUCAUGUAUAUGAGAGGCUAGGCAGCUUUCGUAUAAAAAUUUGUUCUUGAAGAUUGCUCUCAUCUUAGUUAACACUUUUGUUAAUUGCUAAUCUAUAAGAUGCCGUGUAUAUUUUCAUGUCUGUAAAUCAUGGUUUCUGUGGUUUUGGUGAAAAACAAACCCUUUUCUGUAUCCCUUGCCUGUGAGUAUUAACAAUUCUCUGCUUGAAUUUUUCUUCCUUUGAGAACCUUAAUGAUAGAUAAGGAGAACAAUUACUCGUAGAUGCUCCAAUUGAUACUUCUAUUGCAGGAUUUACUUGUGAAGUUGGUUCCAACUGAUCUAAUAAUUAGAAUUGGGGAUUUUACUUCCGUUCUUUCUUCAUUGUGUGCUAAUAAUCCCAACCCGAUGCUCUAUAAUUUACUUUGGUAUACUCAGUUUCAUUACCUACUAUGCGGUUCAUGUCGUUGGGUUCUUCAUCCUAGCUGCAGCGGAGUGCAUAGGAUCACUCUUGAAGAAUGAAGGGGUACUACUAAAAACAGUCUCUAUGUGUGUGCGUGUGUUUGGUAGGGGUUUGGUUUAGUUGGUUGUGCUUUCAAUUUCUGAUCUUUAAUUGCCAUUGAUUGAUUUGGAAGCAAGCCUGAAUGGUUCUUUACUCCUUGAUCAGAUUUAUCUUUCUUGAAUAUACACGUGUAACGACCUCAAUUGACUAAGGUUAUUACUACUUGUAUGCUAGCAAUUGAAAACUUGAAAGAAUCUUAUAAAAUUAUAAAAACG